rnacentral:lncRNA from 1 species
CUGUCUUUAAAUCUAAAGGAACUUGAACUUGAGUUAAAUAUAAACCUGCUGUGAGAACGAACUACUCACUUCAAACUGUGAACCCUGAACGAAGGUGGCGGACUUCAAGUUCUUACUGCUGCAGCAUCUAUUGAGAAUUAAGUCGAAAGUUGGACAAAACCUCACCUGAAUACAAUGUACCAAGAAAGAGUGCUAUCAGUAAUCCUCGUAUUGAUCAUCGCCUUUAGUAUGCUAUGUAGUGCUGAUAACAAAUGCGAUUUUGGAAGCAGACGAUACGGACGAUUUUGCAAACGAAACCUCAGAAACAAGAGAAGAAAUCAGAUGGCUUUCUCGGGGCCCGAAGAAUAUCGAGGAGGGACGACUGGGUCACGCCUAGGUCUACAAUACCCUCCUGAAGAACUGAAAAGUUCAUAUCUGAGAGACUUGUUCCGAGACGACAACUAGGACUCUACUGACACAUCAAGUAAACACUGAAUCAAACACAGCCAUUANCCAUCCCCUUCACUAGACGAGACACCGAUCAAAGUUACUGGCAAACACCUUAAAUCAUNUGACUCGAUACGUGAUUGAUACCAUAAUGAUUGUUUGUAAAGAUUAAACAAUAAGUAUUUAUAUUGUCUAAAACGAAUUAUAAUGUAAAUUAUACGAAUAAUUUAUUAGAAGUAAAAUUGUCCUAACUAUCAA